UACGUAGGUGGCAAGCGUUGUCCGGAAUUAUUGGGCGUAAAGCGCGCGCAGGCGGUCCUUUAAGUCUGAUGUGAAAGCCCACGGCUCAACCGUGGAGGGUCAUUGGAAACUGGGGGACUUGAGUACAGAAGAGAAGAGUGGAAUUCCACGUGUAGCGGUGAAAUGCGUAGAGAUGUGGAGGAACACCAGUGGCGAAGGCGACUCUUUGGUCUGUAACUGACG
rnacentral:rRNA from 1 species